rnacentral:rRNA from 1 species
UACGAAGGGGGCUAGCGUUGCUCGGAAUUACUGGGCGUAAAGGGCGCGUAGGCGGAUAGUUCAGUCGGGGGUGAAAGCCCGGGGCUCAACCUCGGAACUGCCUUCGAUACUGGCUAUCUUGAGUACGGGAGAGGUGUGUGGAACUCCGAGUGUAGCGGUGAAAUGCGUAGAGAUUGGGAAGAACACCAGCGGCGAAAGCGUGCUACUGGGUCUGCACUGACACUGAGGGACGAAAGCUAGGGGAGCGAAAGGG